CUGAGUGGAUCGGCACUCCAAACCCCAUUAACUUAUCUUGUUGCCUCGAUCCAGCCCGGACCUAGCCCUGGGGCGGUGCAACUGCCCUGGCGGACACGCGAGACUCUUUAUCUUAGUUGAUUAUCUGAGCGUCUUAUUUAAUAAGUCA
rnacentral:misc_RNA from 1 species